rnacentral:lncRNA from 1 species
GGGGGGUUUCCCUCCAGAGUCAAUUCAGAUGUCAAAGUAUCAAAACAUAAAAAGUUAAAAUCAUGGUUAAUAAAUCACAUAAGAUAGUUUCAGGAAAGAAGGAAGGAAUUGGAUGUAGAUCAUAAGGAGCUUGUGUUUCAUUAUGCAAAUGAUAUUUUGCAGCAACCCAAAGGAUUUUGAGCAGGGGAAUGGUAAGAGUUAUAUAUUAGGAAUACUACCCUGAUGUCUUUAGUCAGGAAAAGGUAGAAUUUAAGGAUCAGAUCAGUGGGACCUAUAAUUAACUGGAUAUGGGGUUGAUGGAAAUGUGGGAAUAAAAACUAACUUGAAUGUUUUAAGCCUUUGUGACUGGAGGAUGAUACUGCUAUUAAUGUAUGCAGGUGUCUGAGGAGAAGGCACUUCCAAUAUGAGUCUAAGAAGAUAACUGGGCAGAAAUGAUGAACUGGGUUUCAGAAAUGUUGAUAUGAUCAUAUCUAACAGGCAGUUCUUGUUAAUUGUUGCCUUGUGUGAUAUCUGGCAUUUUGUGUUUUUGAAUUCCCCAACUAUGUCAGAAGAACCCUAAAGUACUUGUGUCUCUUCUUUGUCCCUCCCCAAUAUCUAACACAGACCCUCAUUCCUCUGGUUCUUGUCCUUUUGGAGCUUAACCCAGGCUUUUAUCAUAGGGCACAGCCACCAAGACUUGACCAUAUGAUGAUGAAAUAGUCUAGGCUCUCUUACUGCUUUAGCAGAGAUCUAAAAGUACACAGGAGUACACACCCAGGACAUGCAUAAGAGAUUUAAUAAGCCAUGAUUACCUUAUCAGUAAAUAAAGGGGUGAGUGGGCUGGACUUCCUUCCUUUCUCUCCCUCCCUCCCCCCCUCCUCCCUCCUUCCC